CGCGGUCUUCGGUAGUGGCUGUCGGAGGAAUCCUCCGGCCGCUUCGAUCGACGGCCGUC
rfam:Mycobacterium iranicum strain H39 scaffold_25, whole genome shotgun sequence.